GAGCCACCGACCGCUGAACCU
rnacentral:miRNA from 1 species